rnacentral:rRNA from 1 species
AUGCCGCGUGAGUGAAGAAGGCCUUAGGGUCGUAAAGCUCUUUCGCCUGUGAAGAUAAUGACGGUAGCAGGUAAAGAAACCCCGGCUAACUCCGUGCCAGCAGCCGCGGUAAUACGGAGGGGGUUAGCGUUGUUCGGAAUUACUGGGCGUAAAGCGCGCGUAGGCGGACCAGAAAGUUGGGGGUGAAAUCCCGGGGCUCAACCCCGGAACUGCCCUCCCAAAACUCCUGGUCUUGAGUUCGAGAGAGGUGAGUGGAAUUCCGAGUGUAGAGGUGAAAAUUCGUAGAUAUUCGGAGGAACACCAGUGGCGAAGGCGGCUCACUGGCUCGAUACUGACGCUGAGGUGCGAAAGUGUGGGGAGCAAACAGGAUUAGAUACCCUGGUAG